UUUUUCCUACGGGAGGCAGCAGUGAGGAAUAUUGGUCAAUGGGCGCAAGCCUGAACCAGCCAAGUCGCGUGAGGGAAGACGGCCCUACGGGUUGUAAACCUCUUUUGCCGAGGAGCAAGCCUGAGCACGUGUGCCCAGGCGGAGAGUACCCGGAGAAAAAGCAUCGGCUAACUCCGUGCCAGCAGCCGCGGUAAUACGGAGGAUGCGAGCGUUAUCCGGAUUUAUUGGGUUUAAAGGGUGCGCAGGCGGGCUGUUAAGCCGGCGGUAAAAAUUCAGGGGUCAACCCGGUCGAGCGGUCG
rnacentral:rRNA from 1 species